AAGUCGUAACAAGGUUUCCGUAGGUGAACCUGCGGAAGGAUCAUUAUUGAAUGAACAUGGAGUUGGUUGUUGCUGGCCCCUUAAUUGGGGCAUGUGCACACCUCCUCUAUUCAUCCACACACACCUGUGAACUUGUGAGACGGAUAGUAGCCCUCUAGGGGGCGAGGUCCGUCUGCUAUACAUAAACUCCAGUAUAUAAAUUUGAAUGUCAUUUGAUGUAACACAUCUAUAAACUAAGUUUCAACAACGGAUCUCUUGGCUCUC
rnacentral:misc_RNA from 1 species